AUGGCGCCUUCAGAAAAGAAUCGUUGUGCGAUUGUGCUCCUAAUUGUCAUUGUGGCCUCCGUAUGUCCGCUGUGUUCAAUGGAGUCUCCAUGCGCGAAGCCAAGUAAUUGCCGGCACCCGAGCGGCAAUUAUAGAGGACCGUGCUUUGCCUUUACCGACGGUUGCGAUACUACAUGCCAACAUGAAAGCUCCGAUAACAGGUGGGGCGAGUGUGACUGUGACUUUAAAUGCUACUGCUAUACAUGCUAG
rnacentral:rRNA from 1 species